GCCCACUUGGCUCAAUGGUAGAGCAGCGGUAUCGUAAACCGCAGGUUGUCGGUUCGAAUCCGACAGUGGGCUCCA
rnacentral:tRNA from 1 species